rnacentral:rRNA from 1 species
UCGCUACUACCGAUUGAACAUUUUAGUGAGGUCUCUGGACUGGUGCUUAAGAGCUGGCAACAGCUCCUUUGUACUGGGAAAUUGCCCAAACUUGGAUGUUUAGAGGAAGUAA